GACUGAUGAUACUGCCGCAGAAUCUGGAGAUCAUGGUAGUAGCUCCUUCUCAGAAUUCCGCUAUCUCUUCAAGUGGCUGCAAAAAAGUCUUCCAUAUAUUUUGAUUCUGAGCGUCAAACUUGUUAUGCAGCAUAUAACAGGAAUUUCUCUUGGAAUUGGGCUGCUAACAACUUUUAUGUAUGCAAACAAAAGCAUUGUAAAUCAGGUUUUUCUAAGAGAAAGGUCCUCAAAGAUUCAGUGUGCUUGGUUACUGGUAUUCUUAGCAGGAUCUUCUGUUCUUUUAUAUUACACCUUUCAUUCUCAGUCACUUUAUUACAGGCUAGAAAGGUGUCAACUAUGACAAACCGUGAAGACUUUUUCCUUAUUCUAUGAAGGGAAGAUCUAAAAUCCAAACAGGUUUAAAAAGUCUCUUUAAGCAAAAUGAUCCUCCAUUCCAUUAUUGUGAACUCUGACAUCCUGCCAAACUCAUAUUUUUUACAUAUCAAAAUAAAAUAUUUGUAGCAAAUUAAAACCCUUUAUUAAUACUUUAUCUUUGUAUGUUGCUCUGAUAAAUUUUGAUGUUUUUCUUUUGGUAGCUUAAUUUUUU
rnacentral:ncRNA from 2 species